GCCUCGGUGAUGAAACCGGUAAACAUACAGCACUUAAAAUGCUGCGGGCAUAGCCCUUGUGGGUUCGAGUCCCACCCGAGGCA
rfam:Parcubacteria bacterium 34_609 MPI_scaffold_4499, whole genome shotgun sequence.